rnacentral:rRNA from 1 species
GUGGGGAAUAUUGGACAAUGGGGGAAACCCUGAUCCAGCAAUGCCGCGUGUGUGAAGAAGGCCUUAGGGUUGUAAAGCACUUUCACCCGUGAAGAUGAUGACGGUAGCGGGAGAAGAAGCCCCGGCUAACUCCGUGCCAGCAGCCGCGGUAAUACGGAGGGGGCUAGCGUUGUUCGGAUUUACUGGGCGUAAAGCGCACGUAGGCGGCGCGUCAAGUUAGAGGUGAAAGGCCUGGGCUCAACCUAGGAACUGCCUUUAAUACUGACGUGCUUGAGGCCGGAAGAGGGUGACGGAAUUCCCAGUGUAGAGGUGAAAUUCGUAGAUAUUGGGAAGAACACCAGUGGCGAAGGCGGUCACCUGGUCCGGUUCUGACGCUGAGGUGCGAAAGCGUGGGGAGCAAACAGGAUUAGAAACCCGAGUAGUCC